UCGUCAGCUCGUGUCGUGAGAUGUAAGGUUAAAUCCUUCAACGAGCGAAACCCAAUUUUUUAUUUUGAUAAAAAAACUGCCAAUGAUAAAUUGGAGGAAGGUUGGAUGAUGUCAAGUCCUCAUGGCCCUUAUGAACUGGGCUACACACGUGAUACAAUGGCAAUCACAAACGGAUGCAAUGAUGCAAGUCGGAGCGAGUCCUUAAAAGUUGUCUUGUUCGGAUUGUUCUCUGCAACUCG
rnacentral:rRNA from 1 species